CAAGUGACUGGAAUAUGCUUAGAGAAGUAUCUGGGUAAAGAGUUGUCCAUGCAUCGAUGUUUAUUCAUAUUAUCAAUAACUGUUAGGUGAGGUGCACGAUAUUGGUGGGACCGCAGCACCCACUAGAAACUCAAUUGUCACGUUAGAAUUUUUGUUUCUCCACCUAGAGAGUGUGGGAGUUCUGAUAAAAUAGUAGGAGUCUCU
rnacentral:lncRNA from 1 species